rfam:Beggiatoa sp. IS2 Ga0073106_1197, whole genome shotgun sequence.
AUAGAGUUGUUCAGAAAUAAAGUAUGGGACUCAACGUACUUCUCUGACUGUAAAACAGUUAUUUCGGACUACGCUAUUAGUCUAAGUCCUUUAAUGGGCUACGUUAUUGGGGUCAAGACACCUACGGAUACUCCUCAAGUCUGUAGCUCUGUCGUUAGUCAUUAAACAAUUCUUAGAGUCAUGGGAUAGUGUGACCAGCUGAACAAACCUUAAUAACUUUGACGGUGAGGAUCAAC